AUUGAACGCUGGCGGCAGGCCUAACACAUGCAAGUCGAGCGGAUGAAGGGAGCUUGCUCCUGGACUCAGCGGCGGACGGGUGAGUAAUGCCUAGGAAUCUGCCUGGUAGUGGGGGAUAACGUCCGGAAACGGGCGCUAAUACCGCAUACGUCCUGAGGGAGAAAGUGGGGGAUCUUCGGAUCUCACGCUAUCAGAUGAGCCUAGGUCGGUUCAGCUAGUUGGUGGGGUAAAGGCCUACCAAGGCGACGAUCCGAAACUGGUCUGAGAGGAUGAACAGUCACACGGGAACUGAGACUCGGUCCAAAAUGCUGCGGGAGGCAGCAGUGGGGAAUAAUGCGCGAUGGGCGAAAGCCUGAUCCAGCAAUGCCGGGUAGGUGAAGAAGGUGUUAGGAUUGUAGAGCACUUUAAGUUGGGAGGAGGGGCAGUAAGUUUAUACGUUACGGUCUUGACGUUACCACCAGAAUAAGCACCGGCUAACUUCGUG
rnacentral:rRNA from 1 species